rnacentral:rRNA from 1 species
AUUGAACGCUGGCGGCAGGCCUAACACAUGCAAGUCGAGCGGCAGCGGGAAAGUAGCUUGCUACUUUUGCCGGCGAGCGGCGGACGGGUGAGUAAUGCCUGGGAAAUUGCCCAGUCGAGGGGGAUAACAGUUGGAAACGACUGCUAAUACCGCAUACGCCCUACGGGGGAAAGCAGGGGACCUUCGGGCCUUGCGCGAUUGGAUAUGCCCAGGUGGGAUUAGCUAGUUGGUGAGGUAAUGGCUCACCAAGGCGACGAUCCCUAGCUGGUCUGAGAGGAUGAUCAGCCACACUGGAACUGAGACACGGUCCAGACUCCUACGGGAGGCAGCAGUGGGGAAUAUUGCACAGUGGGGAAACCCUGAUGCAGCCAUGCCGCGUGUGUGAAGAAGGCCUUCGGGUUGUAAAGCACUUUCAGCGAGGAGGAAAGGUCAGUAGCUAAUAUCUGCUGGCUGUGACGUUACUCGCAGAAGAAGCACCGGCUAACUCCGUG